rnacentral:rRNA from 1 species
GAUGAACGCUGGCGGCGUGCCUAAUACAUGCAAGUCGAACGCUGGAAAUCUAGCUUGCUAGCUUGAAGGAGUGGCGAACGGGUGAGUAAUACAUAAGCAACCUACCCACGAAGACUGGGAUAAUCUCUGGAAACGGGGACUAAUACCGGAUAGGUAAUCGGAAGGCAUCUUCUGAUUAUUAAAGGUUAAAAACACUGGUGGAUGGGCUUAUGGCGCAUUAGUUAGUUGGUGAGGUAACGGCCCACCAAGACGAUGAUGCGUAGCCGGCCUGAGCGGGUGAACGGCCACAUUGGGACUGAGACACGGCCCAGAAUCCUACGGGAGGCAGCAGUAGGGAAUGUUCGGCAAUGGGGGAAACCCUGACCGAGCAACGCCGCGUGAGUGAUGACGGCCUUCGGGUUGUAAAGCUCUGUUGUAAGGGAAGAACGGUAGAUAGAGAAUAUCUAAAUGACGGUACCUUACCAGAAAGCCACGGCUAACUACGUG